CCGCAACCUUCUAUCGAUUCAGCGGCACGUGCGUAUAAUUCGUGCACAUAACAUCGCCGUUACAUCACUUGCAGAAAAAGAAUAAAAAUUUGCGUGUAUAGAGAAUAUAUAAAAGCCGCGAGUUUUCCCUACAUAAGACGAUAUCGCUAUCGCUAUCGCCAUCACGAGUCAUCGUGUUGUAAAAAUAGCGUGACAUUUCAUCGAUCGUAUAACAUACUCGUAAAAACGUCACGACUGUGCCAACACGAAACAAUUUGAAAAUAGGUUCGCGAAAUUCGAUUAGAAUUUCGAUCCUUCGUUCGUCGCCCUACGCGCGAGGUUCAGUACACUCCUACCCGAAGAUAAAUGAAGAUGACAUACUAAAUGGAUCAACGCGACGCAACGUAUCAAAUAUGAUGCAGACAGUUUUCAUAUAUAUUCAUAAUCUCAAUGCGUACAUUGUUCCAAGUUUAUUCGAGUAUCAUAAAAAUAUAGCAAGUGCUUGAAAUAAUUCCAUAAAAAUGUCGAAUGAACGAAUGAAAAAACUGCUCUACAGCUAAUGUACGUCCUGAAAAAACAUGAGCAGAGCAAGUAAGCGGAGAGAUCAAAAAUUGCUCACCGAUCAAUCUUGUCCAUUGUAGUAGGAUGUUGCAAGAUGGUUUGCUGCCCCGUCAUCUCGACGACGCAUUGCGUACAGAGUUCCAGCUCUGUAAUAAGAAAAAAAAUAUAUCAAUCGAGAUUCAGAUUCUGCUGUUAACGCUGUAAGAAUAAUCUUUUUGCGUUAUCUGUUAUCUCUACAUAUAUCUCCACAAAUUGUACUUUGGGUCAAAUGUAUACUACAUACUAUAUCGUUUAUAUAAUAAUAUAUUUAUAUAUUAAUUAUUUCAUUCUUUUAAUCAUCAUGUUACGGCGUACACAAAUAAAGUUGAGUCAACUGAUAAUUGUUUAAUAAACAUUACGCGAGGGUUCAUCCCGUUCACUAUAUCGAAAUGCGAGUAAGCAGAAUCUUGUAUAUUUAGUCAUGUCUUUCUCACAAUCGGUAUAAAAAAAAUGUCAUCAAAUUAAUCAAGGUUUUAUUUAAACGUGACAACACAACAAGAACUUGUGCAACUUUUAAUCAAUUGUAUAGAAUGUGUGUCGUCAUACAUAUGUAACAUGUAACAAUACCUGCAUAACAAGACGAUCGCUCAAUAAAUAUCAAAUUUUGGUAAUAA